GAGAAUUUAUGUAUUCUGUCAAUUGUGAGGAAUCACGUAGCAGAACUAUCAUAUCAGAUGAUGUCAUGUGUGCAGACACAGAAUUUGGUAAUCUUCAACUACCUAUCUGUUCAAUGGGCACUCAAUUUCCAUCGCAGUAAUGAUCUUCACGAGACUGAGACGUCCACAAUUCAAAGCAGCAAUACAUGGUGAAAAUGUGACUUUUGUAGAUAAUUUCUGCGACUUUAGAAGAAUACUUGAAGCUUGUCUAGAAUAUCCCACACUACCAAGAAGGCCUUCAGAUUGGAAGUCAAACAUGUGAAACAGAUGCGAGGUUGAUAUGACUUCAAAAUAUCAUUCUGAGCUAGGAUUUAGAAGCUAUGCCGAUUACUGAAAUCUGGUGACUGAGAAUUUCUGAUUGCACUCUAGAUGUGUAAGUUUGAGAUGGUCGUCGAAGGUGAUGCCAGCAGAAACUUCAAUCAACAUAUCUCACACCGGCUCCAUAUUUAUCAUCUUGUUAAUUUUCUUCACUGAAGCUAUGGAUUUAGUUCACAAAGUAAGCAGCUUGAACUCGGGGGCUGAGAAUAUGCUCUAUUCCCUCUCUUUUCAGACUUGAAAUUUUAAUGGAACACCAACUCAAUGACCUCAUGACACAUCACCAACUUCAGCAACAAAAUAAGAAUCCGAGGUGCAGGGUUGAUAUCCAGCUUCCUUCAUGUGACCGACCAACUGAGAAAUCACUUCAUUUAUCUCCUCUAUCCGAUGAUGGACCCUGACUCUGGCCACAAAUUCAUGUCUUGAAUUUCCCACCUCAAUCCAACUUUGAGCUGCCUCUUUCCUCAAUCCUCUCUCCUCCAUGACCCUUCUCACUAUAUGGGCAUCAAUCCAUCUAUCAGCUGCAACAUAAAUAUUUGAUAACAUAGUAUAUCUUGCAGCAUUUGUUGGUUCCAACUCAAACAAAACUUCUGCUGCACACCUAGCAAGAUCCAAGUUCCCAUGGACCCGACAAGCCCCCAAAAGUGCGCCCCACAUCCCAACAUGAUCUGAUCCAUUAGGUGCUGACUCAAUUAAUUCCAUUGCUUCCUUCAGCCUAUUUUUCCUCCCUAACAAAUCAAUCAAUACUGAAUAGUGCUCUGAUUUUGGGUUUACACCAUAAUCCUUCUCCAUCAUAUGAAGAAUCUUGAGUCCUUCAUGAACUAAACCUGUGUGACUACAAGCGAAUAACACCCCAAGAAAUGUGACAUGAUUGGGCAUUGUGUUUGCUUCUAUCAUCUUCCUAAAUGCGUGGAGUGAUUCCUCUGCAUGCCCAUUCUGAGCAAGCCCUGUUAUCAAUGAGUUCCAAGACACAAUAUCCUUCUCUGGCAUCCUGUCAAACAAUGUCUUGGAUGAUUUCAUCUCUCCACACUUGCAAUACAUGUCAAUUAAUGCAUUGAGUAUGUAUAUGUUAAACAAAUCACUUCUACUGCUUCUUCUAAUGAUGUGUCCAUGGAUCUGUUUGCCUUUUUCAAUAAGAGCAAGAUCUGCACAAGCACUUAAAACAGUGACAAAGGUAAAAGCAUUAGGCUGGAUACCCUCUUCAAGCAUUCGUCCAAAAAGUUCCAAAACUUUAUAGCUGUGCCCAUUUUGUGCAAAACCAGCUAUCAAACUAGUCCAAGAAACUGUGUUCUUAACUGGCAUUUCCAUGAAAAUCUGAAAAGCAUCAUCCAUACUAGACGCGCGAGCAUAUGCUCCAACCAUUGAAGUCCAUGACACGACAUCCCUUUCAAGCAUUUGAGUAAAUAUACAAUAAGAUGUUUCGGGUUUACCACAUUUCCCAUAAGCAUCAAUCAAAGCAUUGUAAACUAUCCUGUUUAACUCCAAACCAGUAAGUAUUGCUGCUCCAUGCACUUGACGCAACAAUCCUAACACACCUAGAGAAGCGCAAGAACCAACUACACUUACCACCGUAAACUCGUCUAAACAUAAACAAGUACAAUCCUUUUGCAUUCUUUUAAAGACAUUUAUCGAUUCUGAAUAAAACCCAUGAUGAAACAAUCCUGAAAUCAAUGAAUUAUAGCCAACAAUAUUUGGUUCAGGGAUUUUAUCAAAUAAUUGGCGGGCUUUCUCGAACAAACCCACUUGCGAGUAAGCAGUAAUCAAAGUGUUCCAAGAACGAUUGUUCUUAAUAGGGAUGUCACCGAAAGCUUUCUGGGCACUCUCGAUUUCAUUGCACUUGGAGUACGUAUCUAUCAAACGGUUGGAGAAAAAGGGAAUAAUGGUGAGUGCUGUUUUGAUGAGAUAAGAGUGAACGGCCGUGCCAAGCUUGAGGUUUCUGGUUGUGAUACAUAUGGAAAUGAGGGAUGUAAUCUUAUCACCAGAACUAACUAUAUCCAUAGGAAUCAUGAAGGUGGGGUUGAUAAUUGCAUGGAGGAUUAACAAGAGACAUUACUCUCUUUAUAGUUUUCUAUGGCUGCUCUUGUUCAACACCAACGAAUCUGGCCUUUUCCAGCCAGAUGAAAACUGGCCUAGUUGAGCUUCACCAUUGGCCCGAGAUGAACAAACCGCUCGUUGAAAUUGAAGAAAAUUUAACCCUU
rnacentral:misc_RNA from 1 species